GUCUGUUCUGCCCGUUGAAUAUUAUAGUUUGAAAGGCCGCAGUAUCUUGACUGUGCAAAGGUAGCAUAAUCAUUAGUUUUUUAAUUGAAGGCUUGAAUGAAUGAUCGAACAAGAACUCAGCUGUCUUUUCUGAUUAAAAUUGAAUUUUAUUUUUAAGUGAAAAAGCUUAAAUAAAUAAGAAAGACGAUAAGACCCUAUAAAUCUUUAUGAAAUUUAGUUUUUAAAAUUAAAAUUUUAAGUUAAACAAAUUUUAAAAAUUAUAUCAUUGUGCUGGGGUGGUAAAGAUAUAAAAAAUAAACUGUCAGAAAAUAAAACAAAAAUAUUUGUUUGUAAAAGAUCCUAUAUAUGGAUUAAAAGACUAAGUUACUUUAGGGAUAACAGCAUAAUUUCUUUUGAGAGUCCUAAUCGAAAAAGAAGCUUGUGACCUCGAUGUUGAAUUAAGGAAUCCU
rnacentral:rRNA from 1 species